rnacentral:rRNA from 1 species
GACAGUAUGAAUGGCAUCACGAGGGUUAUACUGUCUCCUUUUUCUAAUCAGUGAAACUAAUCUUCCCGUGAAGAAGCGGGAAUAAAACUAUAAGACGAGAAGACCCUAUGGAGCUUUAAACAAAAUAACAAUUGCUUCUUUAUUAUUAAAUUCCAGAAAUUUAAGUAUUAUUCUAGCACUAUGAUUAUCAGUUUUAGGUUGGGGUGACCGCGGAGUAAAAAUUAACCUCCACAUUGAAAGGAUAUUUUCCUUAGCAAAAAGCUACAACUUUAUGCAUCAAUAAAUUGACAUUAAUUGACCCAAUAUUUUGAUCAACGAACCAAGUUACCCUAGGGAUAACAGCGCAAUCCACUUCAAGAGCCCCUAUCGACAAGUGG